rnacentral:tRNA from 1 species
AAGGGAGACCUAAUUCAGGUAUGGGACGAAAAAAAAGUAAUCCCUACCAAGAAUCAAUCCCAAAAGGUCGGAGCGAGGCAAAAUUGGCUUUCAAACUAGGUUCUGGGUUCAUAAAAGACCUGAAUCAGGAACAAGGGCUAUUAGCUCAGGUGGUUAGAGCGCACCCCUGAUAAGGGUGAGGUCCCUGGUUCGAGUCCAGGAUGGCCCACCUGCACAGGUGGCAAAAACAAAGAAGCGAGGAAUCAGCACCUUAUCUUACUUAUAUAGUAAGAGAGAAUGCUGGCUCUGAGUAAAGAGUCCAGAGGAACCUUGAAAACUGCAUAGAGCUAGGCGAAAAAGCCAAAAAAGAAGACCGCAA